UGUCCGAGGGUCCGUGAACUCACCACGGUGACGCAGCAGACAGUGCUGCACAUGCGCACUCAGACUGCUGCAAACUGUGGCCGAGUUGUUAUGGGGACGCACUGACAAAUCCCGGACAGCCGUGUAACAUUUGUGUUUUCUGUCAACCAGGUAUGAUGUUAAUUUUUCAUUUUCUCAUGUUCUUUUUAUGUUUUAUUUCACGUGCUGUGGGGGGAGGUGCAUGCGCACUCAGACUGCUGCAAACUGUGGCCGAGUUGUUAGGGGGAAGCACUGACAAAUCCCGGAUAUUUGUGUUUAGUGUCAACCAGGUUUGAUAAUAAAUAAACGGAAUCAACAUCGGAGCCUGAUCUUCAUUCACUGACCUGAACACAACGCAGACCAACACAGUCGAACCAGUUACAAUCGCAAAAUUAAAAUUUAAUGGAAACAAUGUCAUUUCGAAACAUUUUUUUUUCUUUUUCUUUUUUUAAAUACCUAGAAUUUCCAUAGUUUUGCGCAAAUAUGUUAUGGAAACGCAGCUAAUAACAAAGAAUGAGGCGCCCCCUUCUCCCUUUCCCACAUGGAGACACCGAGAAUAUUUGAUUAUUAGUUACCUUUAAAGGAAACAUAGAUUACAAAAAA